GUCUUGUUGGAGGAAGUGUGUCACUGUGGGGAUAGGCUUUGCGGUUUCCUAGGCUCAGGAUGCUGCCCAGUGUUUCAGUUGACUAUAAGAUGCAAGACUCUCAGCUACUUCUUCAGCACCAUGUCUGCCUGCAUGUUGCAAUGCCCCAUGCCAUGAUGAUGAUUGACUGAACUUCUGAAACUGUAACCAUCUCCUGAGAAAUACUGAUCGGCAAAGAACUUCUGCCAUGCUCAAUUAUCACAAGUACUCAUCUCUCUGCUCCUUCUGUCGUGUCCUCAGCCCUUUUGAUGGUUCCUGUAGGUGACAGUGGAGUACACACCUACGACAACCUCUCCAUUUAUAUACCAGAUCCUCUCCCUUCUUGUCUGCACAUGUGAGGGACACUGGGCGUCUUCUUGCAAAAGAAAGACUGUAAGCAGAGAGAUGCUUCCAGGCUGUCAUGAGCUGGUGAGAGGGGGAAGCCUGUCUACAGAACUAGCUGCCAAGGUCUCUGAGGCUGGAUCCUUCAGGGAUCAAGAAAUGAGGCUCG
rnacentral:lncRNA from 1 species